UACCUACUGUUUUAAUGCCAAGUAAGUAGGUACUUCAUCUAAUUCAGUACCUACUAUACAGUAUGCGGUUUCGGACGCAGCCAGUAAGUAUGCGAUUUCGGAUUCAGCCCUAGAAUUUCCUCCACUGCCUAUUGAAUGCGCCACACCCAGUCCAGUAGGAGGCGCUAAUGACCCUUCAGUUGCCAACCGCCACUCAGGCCAAAAGCGCAGAAGAACAAAAUGACUGGGAAAAUCUGACAGGACUGAGAAGAGGAUAACAGCACAGCGGGGUUUCAGAAGCCCAUCAGAGUGAAUUUCUGAGUUCUUUCACAUAUGCUGUAUGGUCAGCGAAUGGAUGGAUUAUCCAGUCACGGUACAUAAUGAAAGACUUGACUGAGUUAGAAGAAGCUGAGCGACUCUUCAGAGUGAAGAUGUUAUGAGGCCUGCCAAAAGAUCCACCCAAAAGUGCCAGUUAAGGUGUAAGAAGAGUGCAUUGCAGACACCUUGAAGUACGUUCCUCAUCGUGAUUCAAGAAUGGGGCAUGAAGACACAGGCCAUGGACAGUGCUAGUUUUCAGCACUCACAUCCCACACACACACAAAUUUAUAAAGUUCUCACUGAUUCAAUGUUUUUAUUAAAGCUAGUUAUGUUUUGCUGUCAAUUUAUAUUUUAUUGUCGUAAGUAUUAUGUUAUUAAGUAUUAUGUUACAAUUUAUGUAAUUUUGAUCUGUUAAUGAGUUACGUUGCACCUGGAAUGUAAUCAUUUAAUAAAAUUAUGUUAAAAGAGAAUGAAGGAUCACUGCUAAGCUAAAAAAAAUGUUUUAUCUAAACUUUGUAAUGUUCUAAAUAAGUGUUCUCAGAACGUUGUAUUUUUAAAAAGAAAUGUUGGUAGCAAGAACGUUGUGGGAGCAAUGUUAAGCAAACUGGACAUUUUAACGUUCCAAAUGAAUGUUUGUAGAAUGUUAUAUUUUUAAUUAAAUUUAGGUGGUAAGAACGUUGUAGGAACGUUAUGCUAACCAUAAAAUAACGUUCUAGCAACGUUAAGCAAACUGGACAUUUCAACGUUCUUAGAACGUUCCAAACAAACGUUUGUAGAACGUUAUAUUUUUAGUGAAAUUUAGGUUGUAAGGUUUUGUAUAUUUUCAUUGUGUGCUUGUCUUUGUCUUUAGCUAAAACAACUUAUAUGGUUUAGCUGAAUUUAGACAGUAUUACAAUUUUAUAGAAAAAAAUGUCACAAUUUUUGUUUAUUUGGAAAAACAUUUAUCUGUCAACCACAGCUGUCCCUUUAAAGAGGUCUUCUUAAAAUAUUUGAGAGCGAUAUUCUCAUUGAAUAAACAAUGGAUUUAAAUGACUGAACGAGCGACAGAUAAGAAAAGCUUGCUUUUAUUCACUGCAACCACAAAGGAAACCAAACUAACAAGUGAAAGUCAACACAAACUUCCACUUUACAGGAACUUAUGGUAUGUCAUGUAUGUGUGAACUCUGAAAUAAUUAAACUCUGUUCAUUCAGUGUUUUUAUAUCAUUCAUUUAAUGUGAACUUUAUUUGCUGGCUUAUGUUUUUUUUUAUGUUUGUCUGCUAUCUG